UUUCAGUCACCAGAACUACAGAAGAUGUACAAUGAGACUUUCUCAAUAGACCCAGUGACUGGAUAUGUAACUUUAAAGAAGUGUUUAGACUAUGAAAGCAAUAGUUACUAUAAAUUCACACUCAUGGCAAAGGAUUCCGGACCAAACGGAGGAUUGAACAGUACUGCUGAAUUAAUUAUCCAUGUAAAAGACGUCAAAGACGAGUCGGCUAUAAUCACUGGCUAGAAACAUCAUUUUACAAGAAUGACAAUACAUGUAGAUCCUAAUAGCACCAUCUAAGUCCUUUACACUUUUGAAUGAUAUACAUAGUCUGCUCAUAAGUUUUGGAAAACUGUUUUUAGUACAAAACUGUUUCAGAGAGGAAUGAACCCUAGAUAAGUUGGUAACUGCUUAAAUUUUAAAAAUGAUUUUACACAUGGUUGCUGAACUUCUAUUUAUUGAAAUAUUAAUAUAUACAUUUCAUAUCUUAUUCUUCUGUCACGUAGAUAUGCACAUUACAUUAAGGAAAAAUGUAAAAUAUAAACAGUGCGUAUUCUCAUAAAUCAUAAGUGUUUUGUACACAUGAUACAAUAUAGCUUAAGUGGAAAAGAUGUCAGGAAAUCAUAUUUUCAGGUGAAAAAAUUGAACUGUAAUUGUGUUUAUCUGUAAAAUAAUCUGCUAUUAAAGCUAAGUAUGUUGCGG